rnacentral:rRNA from 1 species
UACGUAGGUGGCAAGCGUUGUCCGGAUUUACUGGGUGUAAAGGGAGCGCAGGCGGGAAGGCAAGUCAGACGUGAAAUCUAUGGGCUCAACCCAUAGACUGCGUUUGAAACUGUUUUUCUUGAGUGAAGUAGAGGUAGGCGGAAUUCCGAGUGUAGCGGUGAAAUGCGUAGAUAUUCGGAGGAACACCAGUGGCGAAGGCGGCCUACUGGGCUUUUACUGACGCUGAGGCUCGAAAGUGUGGGGAGCAAAC